rnacentral:rRNA from 1 species
AUACGUAGGGGGCGAGCGUUGUCCGGAAUGAUUGGGCGUAAAGGGCGCGUAGGCGGCGCGGUAAGUCUGGAGUGCAAGUCCUGCUUUCAAGGUGGGAAUUGCUUUGGAUACUGCCGCGCUUGAGUGCAGGAGAGGUUAUCGGAAUUCCCGGUGUAGCGGUGAAAUGCGUAGAGAUCGGGAGGAACACCAGUGGCGAAGGCGGGUAACUGGACUGCAACUGACGCUGAGGCGCGAAAGUGUGGGGAGCAAACAGGAUUAGAUACCCUGGUAGUCCACACUGUAAACGAUGAAUGCUAGGUGUAAGAGGUAUCGACCCCUUUUGUGCCGGAGUCAACACAAUAAGCAUUCCGCCUGGGGAGUACGGCCGCAAGGUUGAAACUCAAAUGAAUUGGCGGGG